rnacentral:lncRNA from 1 species
UUUUUCCAUUAUACCUGGUUUACAGUGUUCUGUCAAUUUUCUACUAUACAGCAAGGUGACCCAGUCACACAUACAUAUAUACAUUCUUUUUUCUCAUAUUAUCCUACUCCAUCAUAAGGGACUAGACAUAGUUCUCAGUGCUAUACAGCAGGAUCUAUUUGUUUAUCCACUCCAAAUGCACUAGUUUGCAUCUACUAACCCCCAAAUCCCAGUCUACCCCACUCCCUCCCUCUGGACAACCACAAGUCUAUUCUCCAAGUCUAUGAGUUUCUUUUCUGUGGAAAGGUUCAUUUAUGCCAUAUAUUAGACUCUACUAACCCCCAAAUCCCAGUCUACCCCACUCCCUCCCUCUGGACAACCACAAGUCUAUUCUCCAAGUCUAUGAGUUUCUUUUCUGUGGAAAGGUUCAUUUAUGCCAUAUAUUAGACUCUACAUAUAAGUGAUAUCAUAUGGUAUUUGUCUUUCUUUUUCUGACUUACUUCACUCAGUACGAGAGUCUCUAAUUCCAUUCAUGUUGCUGCAAAUGGCAUUAUUUUGCUCUUUUUAUGGCUGAAUAGUAUUCCAUUGUGUCUAUAUAUCACAUCUUCUCAAUCCAUUCAUCUGUCAAUGGACAUUUGGGUUGUUUCCAUGUCUUGGCUAUUGGGAACAGUGCUGCAAUGAGCAUACGGGUGCAUAUGUCUUUUUCAAGGCAAGUUUUGUCUGGAUAUACUCCCAAGAGGGGGAUUACUGGCUCAUGUGGUAGUUCUAUAUUUAGUUUUCUGAGGUACCCCCAUACCAUUUUCCAUAGUGGUUGUACCAAUUUACAUCAUCACCAACAGUGUAGGAGGCUUCCCUUUUGUCCACACCCUCUCCAGCAUUUGUUUUUUGUGGACUUAUUAAUGAUGGCCAUUCUGACUGGGGUGAGGUGUUAUCUCAUAGUAGUUUUGAUUUGCAUUUCUCUAACAAUCAAUGAUGUUGAGGAUUUUUUCAUGUGCUUAUCGGCCAUCUGUAUAUCUUUGGAGGAAUGUCUGGCCAGGUCUUUUGCCCAUUUUUGAAUUGGGUUGUUGGCUUUUUUUACUGUUGAGUUGUAUAAGUUGUUCGUAUACUUUAGCAAUUAAGCCCUCGUCAGUUGCAUCAUUUGAAACUAUUUUCUCCCAUUCCAUAGACUGUCUUUUUGGUUUUGUUUAUGGAUUCCUUUGCUGUGCAAAAGCUUGUCAGUUUGAUUAGGUCCCACUGGUUUAUGUUUGCUUUCAUUUCUGUUGCUUUGGGAUAUUGAUCUGAGAAAACAUUUGUAAGGCUGAUGUCAGAGAAUGUUUUGCCUAUGUUCUCUUCUAGGAGUUUGAUGGUGUCUUGUCUUACAUUUAUGUCUUUAAGGCAUUUUGAGUUUAUUUUCGUGCAUGGUGUGAGGAUGUGUUCUAGUUUCACUGAUUUACAUGCAGCUGUCCAGGUUUCCUAACAUCACUUGCUGAAGAGACUGUCUUUUUCCCAUUUUACGUUCUUACCUCCUUUGUUGAAGAUGAAUUGACUGUAGGUGUCUGGGUUCUCUCUUCUGUUCCAUUGGUCUGUCUGUCUGUUUUGGUACCAGUACCACACUGUCUUUAUGACUGUGGCUUUGUAAUAGUGCCUGAAGUCUGGGAGAGUUAUGCCUCCUGCUUGGUGUUUGUUCCUCAGGAUUGCUCUGGCAAUUCUGGGUCUUUUGUGGUUCCAUAUCAAUUUUUGGAUUGUUUGUUCUAGUUCUGUGAAAAAUGUCAUGCGUAAUUUGAUAGGGAUUGCAUUGAAUGUGUAGAUUGCUUUGGGUACUAUGUCCAUGUUUACAAUAUUAAUUCUUCCAAUCCAGGAGCAUGGAAUAUCUUUCCAUUUCUUUGUAUCCUGAAAAUGAGUCUCUAACUAGAGUGAGACAUAUUCCUAGUUAAUCCAAUAAGAUCAAACAUGAACACCAAGUCCAAAGUGAAAGAACAGAGAGAAAGUGAGCAACCCAAACCAAAUAAAACUCUAAGAGGAACUGUAAAAGUUAGAAACAAUUGAGGAUGCCUCUAAAGGGUCCCAUGAUUAGCACCAUAACUAUCUUUCAUGACGUCAACGUCAUCUUCUCAAAGAGGCACUGCCUAACCACUUAACUGGCCAUGUUCCCUCUCCAUAACAUCACUCUUUCCACUCCUUCCUUAGCAUGAAUCACAAAUUAUUUUACUGGUUUGUUUAUUUUUGUGUGAAUUAUCUGAAGAGGUGCAAGGACAUCUUUGUCUUAUUAAGCAAGUAACCUAGAACACUACUUGGCUAAAGGUCAGUAUUGGUAAGCAUGUGAAAUAAAUGUUGAGACAUCUUUCUUUUAUUUUUGCUAAGUCUAAUCUAUGGCAUCUAGGUAUAUCAGACCAGCUUGGAUAAACAUAAGAAAGAAGAAGGGGUUUCAUUUGUGUUAAUGAUCAGUAAGAUGAAGACAGAGUACCAAAAUAUGCUGUUUAACUUGGUGACUAGAGCUUGAAAGACAGGACUGUGCAAAGCCCCUUUACAGAAGAUGGAAAUAGAAGUCAUAUGGCACAAUGUAAACUGACGAAGAAAUGGACAGUGAAUGUUCAUUAAUUAAUUUAGCCAUCAUACGGUCAUGUUUAUUAAGUCAAAAGUUUUAAUUUUUGAAAUAUUAUACUGACGGGAAUGAAGAGAUUGGGGACUUAAGGAGGAAACAAACUCCAGCCUGCAUUUAUUUAAGAUGGGAAUACAGGAACUUGUUUGGAGGUUGGCGUGAAACAACUAGGGGAGUAAGAUAGAUGCAAGGUAUGAAAGAAAGGUGAAGUAAGAGAGCAAGGCUCAAAAAGGUGGAUAGAUCCUAUGUAUUCUCUAGAGAAUCAGGAAGUGAAGUCAUCUAGUAAGGAUUAGAGGAGCUCCAACUAAAGCUCUGUUUCUCCCUCCUCCGAGGCUACUCGCACGAUCUUCCUUCCUCCUAGACUGAUGCAGAACCCUCUAGGACCAUGUCUUCUUCAUGCCUGUAACCCCAUUUUCUGGCAGAUUACCUGGAACAUAGCUCUAUGAUAUACACAUGGGUCUGGAAAGGAAGGAACAAUUUGAGAAUAUGAUGUCUGGUUGUAGUAAGCUAAAGAGACAAAGGUCAAAGAUGCCUAUUUAGAGCCUGAGACACUAGAAAAAUUAGAAUAGGAUGAGUGUGAUGGGAAAACAAAAGGAGAAAGAGGUUUGGAAAUCAAGGGGUUAGUGCAAUUUCAAAUGUCCUGUUUUAAUCCACACUCAUGAGGAGUGCUGGCUGGUGAAGACCACAUCUCUGCCUUAGGCUGAUCUGUAGAUUGACUCUCCAAAUGCAUAUCUUCAAGUCCUCACCCAAGUAUUCAACUUCUUCUCCUCUCUCCUCAGCUAUUCACCAACAAUCCCCAAACACGUGGCUGUACCCAUCUACAUAAGCAGUUCCUUUGGGUCCAGCUUAAAGGUUUUCUAUAACCAUUAGAGUCACAGUGAAAACAUGUGAACAAUGUUCUCCAUGGUUCGCCAUGUGGACAUUAGGUUGAGUUGUCAAUCAUAUUGUUCAAGUUCUCCUUGGUUUUUUUUUAAUUUUUUAUUGAAGUAUAGUUGAUUUACAACAUUCCUUCCGUGUCUGUUGUAUAGCACAGUGACCCAGUCAUACAUAUAUGUACAUUCUUUUUUUUAAUACUGUCUUCCAACAUGUUCUAAUCCAAGAUAUUGGACACAGUUCUUACUGAUUUUUUGUUGGUUUAGUUUGCAUUGGGAUUCACCUUUGCUUUGCACAUUCCAUGGGUUUUGAAAAGAUACCUAAUGAAGUGUAACAAACCUUUUAAUAUGCAGAAUAGGUUCACUGCCCUAAAAAUCCUCUGUGCUCCUUCUACUAAUUCUUUCCUUGUAACCACUCAUCUUUCUGCUGCCACCAUAGUUUUAUCUUUUCCAGAAUAUCACACAAUUGGAAUCAUACCGUAUGACGCCUUUUUAGUCUGCCUAUUUACACUUAGUAAUAUACAUUUAGGUUUCCCCAUGUCUUCUCAGGUCUUUUCAUUUAAUUUCAUUUCCUUGUUCUCAUUUUUUCAACUGAAUAAUAUUUCGUUGCCUAGACAUACCACAGUAUAUUUCAUCCAUUCACCUGCUGAGGAAUAUCUUGGUCACUUCCAAAUUCUUGAAAUUAUAAAAAAAGAAGCUUCGGUACACAACAGUGUGCCAGUUUUUAUGAGAUAUGGAUGCUGACUUUUAAUCACAUUGAAAAAUGAAUUUAGGUGUAUAGGGAUGAACCAAGAUGUCUUCCAAAGUAGCUAUUCUACCUGCAUCCUCAGCAACAACAAAGAAGUGUUCCUUUCACACUUCAUCCUUGCUAGCAAUGGUAUUGCCGGUAUCUGGGUAUGGGCCACUGUAAUAAGUAUACAGGAAUAUUCCAUUCUCCUGUGCUUUGCAGAUACUGUGCUUGUGGCAACAACUAUCGCCACCAAUUUCUCUUCCCUCAACCCCUGGAGCCACUAAUCUUUUUACAGUCUGCAUUGUUUUGGCUCCCACUAUGUCAUAUAACUGGAAUUUUAAAGUAAAUAGCAUUAUCAGACUGGUUUCUUUCACACAGCAACAUGAUUUAAGAUUCCUCUAUGUCUUUUCAUGGAUUUAUAGCUCAUUUCUUCUUCUUGCUAAAAAUAAUCCACUGUAUGGAUAGGGAGACAGGAUUGAAAUGUUGGAAUAGAAGGACUGGAGCUCAACUUCUCUCAUAAAAACAACAAAAUUACGACCAUAUACUGGGAAACCUUCAACCAAAUGCACUGGAAGUGUUCAAAAAGAUAUCCUACUCCAGAAGACAAAGAGGAGGCCACAUCAAGAGGUAGGAGGGGAGAUUAUGUGAUAUAAGGAAGCCCCACAGACUGGAAAAUAACGGUAUCACAGAGCCUCACCUAUAGGAGUGAGAGUUCUGAGCCCCACGUCAAAUCCCCAUGCCUGGGGCCUGGCACUGGGAGAAAGAGCCCCCGGAGCAUCUGGCAUUGAAGGCCAGUGGGGCUUGUGUGCAAGAGCUCCACAGGACAGGGGGAAACAGAGACCCCAUUCUUGAAAGGUGCACAUGGACUUUACAUGCACUGGGUCCAAAGGCAAAGCAAAGGCUCCAUAGGAAUAUGGGACAGACCCGACUGCAGUUCUUGGAGGACUCUCUGGGAAAAGGGGAUGACAGCGGCUUGUUGUGAGGGAAGGACACUGGAGGCAAAGCUCUCGGGAAUAUUCAGCAACCUUGCCUUUCUCUGGAGGGGGCCAUUUUAGGAAAAUCUGGCCCCACCCAUCAGUGCUGAGAAGCCCCAAGCCAAACAACAAUCCAGGUGGGAUCACAGCCCCACCCAUCAGUGAACAGGCUGCCUAAAGAACCCACAGGCACACAGCUGCCUCUAAUCUCAUCCAAAGACAAAGCCCAACCAAGCACAGAGUGACAGGAAUCAGCUCCACCUACCAGGGGGCAGGCAUCAAUCCCUCCCAUCAGGAAGCCUACAGCAAGCCCCCCUACCGACUCCAGCCACAAGGGGGGCAGACACCAGAAGUAAGAGAGGCUACAACCCUCUUAUCUGUAAAAAGUCACCACACCAAAAACCUAUAAAAAUGAAAAGACAGAGACCUAUAACUCAGAUGUGGGAGAAAGAAAAAAACCCCACAAAACCAGCUAAGUGAUCAGGAGAUUCUCAGUCUCCAGGAAAAGGCUUUAGACUGUUGAUCCUGAAGAUGAUGUAAGACACUGGAAAUACCCUGGAGGCAAAGAUGGAUAAUUUACAGGAAACACAAGCAAAGAAAUACAAGAUAUUAAAACUUAAGCAAGCAGAGAUGCAAAAUACAAUAACUGAAAUAAAAAAUUCAUUAGAAGUAGCCAACAGCAGAAUAUAGGGGGCAGAAGAACAAAUAAGCAAGAUGGAGGACAGAUGAGUAGAAAUCAAUGAUGAGAAACAGAAAGGAGAAAAAAGAUUGAAAACAAUGAAGAGAGUCUCAGAGAACUCUAGGACAACAUUAAACACACCAAAAUCCAUAUUAUGGGGGGCCAGAAAGAGAAGAGAGAGGGAAAGGGACAGAAAAAAUAUUCCAAGCGAUAAUAGCUGAAAACUUCCCUAACAUGGGAAAGGAACCACUCACUCAAAUCCAGGAAGCACAAGUGCCAUAUAAAAUAAACCCAAGGAGGAACACCCCAAGACACAUAUUAAUCAAACUGACCAAAAUUAAAGACAAAGAGAAAAUCUUGAAAGCAGCUACAGAAAAGAAACAAACAACAUACAAGGGAAUCCUGAUGAGGUUAUUGGCAGAUUUUUCAGCAGAAACUCUGCAGGCCAGAAGGGAGUGGCAAGUUAUACUUAACAUGAUGAAAGGGAAAAACCUCCAACCAAGAUUACUUUACCCAGCAAGGCUCUCAUUCAGAUGUGAAGGAGAAAUCAAAACCUUCACAGAUAAGAAAAAGGUAAGAGAAUUCAGCAACACUAAACUAGCUUUACAACAAAUACUAAAGGAACUUCUCUAGACAGAAAGGAAAAGGCCACAACCAGAAACAAAAAUACCACAAAUGACAAGGCUCACCAGGAAAGACAUGAAAUCAUCCAUACACAAUUAUGCCACCAAAAUCAGAAAUUCUGAGAAGAGGUGGGUACCAAUGCAGGACACUGGAGACACACUUGCAGUUAAGAGACCAAAAACUUAAAACAAUCUCGUGUAUAUAUAUACAGAGCGACUCAUAUCAAAACUUCAGAGUAACUGCAAAUCAAAAAUCCACAAUGGAUACAC